rnacentral:rRNA from 1 species
GCCAGCAGCUAUAUCACCCUGCAACUCACCACUGGCAGCCCACUGAAGCUCAGCAGGUGUGAGCCUGGUCAGUACCUGGAUGGGAGACCUCCUGGGAGAAAAUAAAGCUGCUGCUGGAA